UACGGGGGGGGGCAAGCGUUUGUUCGGAAUUACUGGGCGUAAAGGGCUCGUAGGUGGCCAACUAAGUCAGACGUGAAAUCCCCAGGCUCAACUUGGGAACUGCGUCGGAUACUGGAUGGCUUGAAUUCGGGAGAGGGAUGCAGAAUUCCAGGUGUAGCGGUGAAAAUGCGUAGAUAUCUGGAGGAAUACCGGUGGCGAAGGCGGCAUCCUGGACCGACAUUGACGCUGAGGAGCGAAAGCUGAGGGGAGCAAACGGG
rnacentral:rRNA from 1 species